CAAUAGCGUAUAUUUAAGUUGUUGCAGUUAAAAAGCUCGUAGUCGGAUUUUGGCUGAGAACGAACGGUCCGCCGUUAGGUGUGCACUGUUUGGUCUCAGCUUCCUGGUGAGGAGGUGUGCUUCACGGCCACUUAGUCACCGUGGUUACUUUGAAAAAAUUAGAGUGUUCAAAGCGGGCUUACGCUUGAAUAUAUUAGCAUGGAAUAACACCAUAGGACUUCUGUCCUAUUUCGUUGGUCUCGGGACGGGAGUAAUGAUUAAGAGGAACAGUUGGGGGCAUUCGUAUUUCAUUGUCAGAGGUGAAAUUCUUGGAUUUAUGAAAGACGAACUUCUGCGAAAGCAUUUGCCAAGGAUGUUUUCAUUGA
rnacentral:rRNA from 1 species